UGUGAAAUAUUCCUUAGGUCUCAGGGGCA
rnacentral:piRNA from 1 species